rnacentral:rRNA from 1 species
UCCCUUAGAUGUUCUGGGCGGCCCGCGCACUACAAUGGCGCUUUCAGCGAGUUCCUAUGUUGAAUUUUCCUUGGUAUUCUUGGAAGCGGCGUCUUGACUUGGGAUAGAUCCUUGUAAUUGUUGGUUUUGAACGAGGAAUUCCUUGUAAUCGCGGUUGAUCAGCUCGCGUUGAAUACGUCCCUGCCCUUUGUACACACCGCCCGUCGCUCCUACCGAUGAAUCGUCCGGUGAAGUUCACAGAGUGGCGGUUCGUGGAGUUGCUCGCGAAGUGAAAUGGACCUCACGAUUUAGAGGAAGGAGAAGUCGUAACA